rnacentral:rRNA from 1 species
GACGAACGCUGGCGGCGUGCUUAACACAUGCCAGUCGAACGGAAAGGCCCUGCUUUUGGGGGGUGCUCGAGUGGCGAACGGGUGAGUAACACGUGAGUAACCUGCCCUUGACUUUGGGAUAACUUCAGGAAACUGGGGCUAAUACCGGAUAGGAGCUCCUGCUGCAUGGUGGGGGUUGGAAAGUUUCGGCGGUUGGGGAUGGACUCGCGGCUUAUCAGCUUGUUGGUGGGGUAGUGGCUUACCAAGGCUUUGACGGGUAGCCGGCCUGAGAGGGUGACCGGCCACAUUGGGACUGAAAUACGGCCCAGACUCCUACGGGAGGCAGCAGUGGGGAAUAUUGCACAAUGGGCGGAAGCCUGAUGCAGCAACGCCGCGUGCGGGAUGACGGCCUUCGGGUUGUAAACCGCUUUCGCCUGUGACGAAGCGUGAGUGACGGUAAUGGGUAAAGAAGCACCGGCUAACUACGUG